rnacentral:rRNA from 1 species
UACGUAGGGUGCAAGCGUUAAUCGGAAUUACUGGGCGUAAAGCGUGCGUAGGCGGCUUUGUAAGUCAGAUGUGAAAUCCCCGGGCUCAACCUGGGAACUGCAUUUGUGACUGCAUGGCUGGAGUGCGGCAGAGGGGGAUGGAAUUCCGCGUGUAGCAGUGAAAUGCGUAGAUAUGCGGAGGAACACCGAUGGCGAAGGCAGUCCCCUGGGCCUGCACUGACGCUCAUGCACGAAAGCGUGGGGAGCAAACAGG